rnacentral:rRNA from 1 species
AAAGCUCUCUCCCGAUGCACAACCGUCGGUGGCAGUAAAGGCUUCAGUACGACCCAGUCAGAACUAUAAGUCUCAAAGCCCCGACGAGUAGGGUGGCGUGCCGGUGAGCGUUGAAGGCCAAGACGUGAGUCAGGCUGGAGCCGCCGGUAGUGCAGAUCUUGGUGGUAGUAGCAAGUACUCUGGUGAACCAACCUGGAGCUGUGAGGUCUGGAUCAGGGUUCCAUGUCAACAGUGAUUGAACAUGGGUGAGUCGAUCCUAAGCCAACUGUGAAAGCAGUGACAUCCCGACAAAGGGGCAAUUCGGUGUGUGGCGGCCACACGCGCGCGUUUGUGUGCACAUUCGCAAGUCUCCUCUCUCUCUCGUCGCGCGCAUGGUUUGCGUGUGUGGGUUUCUCUGGUUACGCUCAAAAAGCGUUAUGGUGUAAGUGAGAGAGAGAGAAAACGAGGCAGUGCCGCGCGCGCGUGUGUGUGCGUUCGUUCUCAAGGCUCCCUGCGUCUGGUUCUAUGUCUGGCGAAAGGGAAUGGGGACUUUGUUCCUUGACCGGUCCCGGCACCCUCGAUAGGCUUUGCCAAUCAAUGGUCCAUGCAAAUGGAACCAGGCCACAGCCGCCGGCAGUCCCCCGAGGAAGAGUUUUCUUUUCUGCUUAACGCACGAGAUCAUCCCUGGAAACAGUUCGGCUGGCGAAAGGGUGCCCCGUUGCGGCAGAGCGCCACGACUGUCGUGCGCGUCUCGGUGUUCCUGCCGGUCCGUGAAGACGUGGUCGAGGGGAUUGCUAUUGUAUCAACUAAACGCCCGACAAGUUCGGGACGGACCGUACCCUAUAUCCGCAUCUGGUCUCCAAGGUUCGUAGCCUCUGCAGAGUCACACACAUGUAGGUAAGGGAAGUCGGCAAACUCGAUCCGUAACUUCGGGAAAAGGAUUGGCUCUGAGGGCCGAGCUG